UGGUUCUGGCAUCGAUGAAGAACGCAGCGAAAUGCGAUAAGUAGUGUGAAUUGCAGAAUUCAGUGAAUCAUCGAAUCUUUGAACGCACAUUGCGCCCUUUGGUAUUCCUUAGGGCAUGCCUGUUCGAGCGUCAUUUAUCUCAAAGGCCCCCCGCUUCUGUGGGGGGGUUGUUGGGCGCAUGUCCCGCCACAGGCGCGGACACGCCCUAAAUGCAUUGGCGGCCUCCGUCUUGGGCUAUCGAGCGCAGCAGACUCGCGCCUCUGGUCCAGUGCGUUGGCGUCCACGAAGCAAAUAACAUCUUGACCUCGGAUCAGGUAGGGAUACCCGCUGA
rnacentral:misc_RNA from 1 species